UGGGGAAUAUUGCACAAUGGGGGGAAACCCUAGAUGCAGCGACGCCGCGUGAAGGAAGAAGUAUCUCGGUAUGUAAACUUCUAUCAGCAGGGAAGAUAGUGACGGUACCUGACUAAGAAGCCCCGGCUAACUACGUGCC
rnacentral:rRNA from 1 species